AACGAACGCUGGCGGCAGGCUUAACACAUGCAAGUCGAACGCCCCGCAAGGGGAGUGGCAGACGGGUGAGUAACGCGUGGGAACAUACCCUUUUCUACGGAAUAGCUCUGGGGAACUGGAAUUAAUACCGUAUACGCCCUACGGGGGAAAGAUUUAUCGGGGAAGGAUUGGCCCGCGUUGGAUUAGCUAGUUGGUGGGGUAAAGGCCUACCAAGGCGACGAUCCAUAGCUGGUCUGAGAGGAUGAUCAGCCACAUUGGGACUGAGACACGGCCCAAACUCCUACGGGAAGCAGCAGUGGGGAAUAUUGGACAAUGGGCGCAAGCCUGAUCCAGCCAUGCCGCGUGAGUGAUGAAGGCCUUAGGGUUGUAAAGCUCUUUCACCGAUGAAGAUAAUGACGGUAGUCGGAGAAGAAGCCCCGGCUAACUUCGUG
rnacentral:rRNA from 1 species